rnacentral:rRNA from 1 species
UACGUAGGGGGCAAGCGUUGUCCGGAUUUAUUGGGCGUAAAGAGCGUGUAGGCGGUUUGGUAGGUCCGCUGUGAAAACUCGAGGCUCAACCUCGAGACGCCGGUGGAAACCAUCAGGCUAGAGUCCGGAAGAGGAGAGUGGAAUUCCGUGGUGUAGCGGUGAAAUGCGCAGAUAUCAGGAAGAACACCCGUGGCUAAGGCGGCUCUCUAGUACGGUACUGACGCUGAGGAGCGAAAGCGUGGGGAGCGAACAGG